GAUGAAGAACGUAGCGAAAUGCGAUACGUAAUGUGAAUUGCAAAUUCAGUGAAUCAUCGAGUCUUUGAACGCACAUUGCGCCCCCUGGUAUUCCGGGGGGCAUGCCUGUCCGAGCGUCAUUGCUGCCCUCAAGCACGGCUUGUGUGUUGGGCCCCGUCCUCCGAAUCCGGGGGACGGGCCCGAAAGGCAGCGGCGGCACCGCGUCCGGUCCUCGAGCGUAUGGGGCUUUGUCACCCGCUCUGUAGGCCCGGCCGGCGCUUGCCGAUCAACCCAAAUUUUUAUCCAGGUUGACCUCGGAUCAGGUAGGGAUACCCGCUGAACUUAAGCAUAUCAAUAAGCGGAGGA
rnacentral:misc_RNA from 1 species